UACGAAGGGGGCUAGCGUUGCUCGGAAUCACUGGGCGUAAAGCGCACGUAGGCGGGUUGCUAAGUCAGGGGGGAAAUCCUGGAGCUCAACUCCAGAACUGCCCUUGAUACUGGCGAUCUCGAGUCCGGGAGAGGUGAGUGGAACUGCGAGUGUAGAGGUGAAAUUCGUAGAUAUUCGCAAGAACACCAGUGGCGAAGGCGGCUCACUGGCCCGGUACUGACGCUGAGGUGCGAAAGCGUGGGGAGCAAACAGG
rnacentral:rRNA from 1 species